CGGGCACCGUGGCGUGGCAAGGUGGGGCACCCGCCACGAAGGGGUUGUUGUGGCUGUCGGUUGGCGUGGCAGAGCCCACGGGUGGCUGACGACGCACCGCGACCUGACUCGGCAUUGCGUCAAACAGGUGGCGCGCGCGGCGUGCUGCUGCUACUUGGCGCUGCACAACAAGGGAGCGAGCGAGCAGCAGCGAAGCCAACCACCAUGCACGGGAGGGGCUUGGCCAGAGCAGGGGAAAAAAUGAAGCUCGGACAUGGCUGCACUUGGGGAGGCGGCAUCGAGUCCCAAGGCAAUAUCUUGCGCAAGAAAAUAAAUCAGGGAGGGUAGGCGCUGCUCGACCAUAGGGAAGAAGAGGAGCCGGCUGGGUGGAAAGACGGACAGGGCGUUGUAGGGAUAUGGGAGCGGCUGCUCUCUGCUCUUGGGGAAGAAGGGCGACGCCGGCUGGGAGAGGGGGUUCGGCCAUGCCAAGAACAGAGAAAGAGGAGGGAGAUGUGCUGC
rnacentral:misc_RNA from 1 species